rnacentral:rRNA from 1 species
AGUGAACGCUGGCGGUAGGCCUAACACAUGCAAGUCGAACGGCAGCACAGUAAGAGCUUGCUCUUACGGGUGGCGAGUGGCGGACGGGUGAGGAAUACAUCUGAAUCUACUUUUUCGUGGGGGAUAACGGAGGGAAACUUACGCUAAUACCGCAUACGACCUACGGGUGAAAGCAGGGGAGCUUCGGACCUUGCGCGAUUGAAUGAGCCGAUGUCGGAUUAGCUAGUUGGCGGGGUAAAGGCCCACCAAGGCGACGAUCCGUAGCUGGUCUGAGAGGAUGAUCAGCCACACUGGAACUGAGACACGGUCCAGACUCCUACGGGAGGCAGCAGUGGGGAAUAUUGGACAAUGGGCGCAAGCCUGAUCCAGCCAUACCGCGUGGGUGAAGAAGGCCUUCGGGUUGUAAAGCCCUUUUGUUGGGAAAGAAAAGCAGCAGGUUAAUACCCCGCUGUUCUGACGGUACCCAAAGAAUAAGCACCGGCUAACUUCGUG